GCGAGCGGCGGAUGGGUGAGUAACACGUGGGGAAACCUGCCCCUAAGUCUGGGUAUACCAUUUGGAAACAGGUGCUAAUACCGGAUAAUAAAGCAGAUCGCAUGAUCAGCUUUUGAAAGGCGGCGUAAGCUGUCGCUAAGGGAUGGCCCCGCGGUGCAUUAGCUAGUUGGUAAGGUAACGGCUUACCAAGGCGACGAUGCAUAGCCGAGUUGAGAGACUGAUCGGCCACAUUGGGACUGAGACACGGCCCAAACUCCUACGGGAGGCAGCAGUAGGGAAUCUUCCACAAUGGACGCAAGUCUGAUGGAGCAACGCCGCGUGAGUGAAGAAGGUUUUCGGAUCGUAAAGCUCUGUUGUUGGUGAAGAAGGAUAGAGGUAGUAACUGGCCUUUAUUUGACGGUAAUCAACCAGAAAGUCACGGCUAACUACGUGCCAGCAGCCGCGGUAAUACGUAGGUGGCAAGCGUUGUCCGGAUUUAUUGGGCGUAAAGCGAGCGCAGGCGGAAAAAUAAGUCUAAUGUGAAAGCCCUCGGCUUAACCGAGGAACUGCAUCGGAAACUGUUUUUCUUGAGUGCAGAAGAGGAGAGUGGAACUCCAUGUGUAGCGGUGGAAUGCGUAGAUAUAUGGAAGAACACCAG
rnacentral:rRNA from 1 species